CCUGAUAAAGCCAAACCCGUCGUGAGGCGGGGACGGAAAGCUGCGGGUCUUCUUCGUGAAGAUAGCCGGGUUACCUGGA
rnacentral:ncRNA from 1 species